UACGAAGGGGGCUAGCGUUGCUCGGAAUCACUGGGCGUAAAGCGCACAUAGGCGGACUCUUAAGUCGGUGGUGAAAUCCUGGAGCUCAACUCCAGAACUGCCUUCGAUACUGAGAGUCUUGAGUCCGGGAGAGGUGAGUGGAACUGCGAGUGUAGAGGUGAAAUUCGUAGAUAUUCGCAAGAACACCAGUGGCGAAGGCGGCUCACUGGCCCGGUACUGACGCUGAGGUGCGAAAGCGUGGGGAGCAAACAGG
rnacentral:rRNA from 1 species